rnacentral:rRNA from 1 species
AUUGAACGCUGGCGGCAGGCCUAACACAUGCAAGUCGAACGAGUGGCGGACGGGUGAGUAAUGUCUGGGAAACUGCCUGAUGGAGGGGGAUAACUACUGGAAACGGUAGCUAAUACCGCAUACCAUAGGAUGUGCCAAGAUGGGAUUAGCUAGUAGGUGGGGUAAAGACGCACCUAGGCGACGAGCCCGAGCUGGUCUGAGAGGAUGACCAGGCACACUGUAACUGAGACACGGGCCAGAUGCCUACGGUAGUCAGCCGUGGGGAAUAGUGCACAAUGGGGGCAAGCCUGAUGCAGCCAUGCAGCGUGUAUGAAGAAGGCCCUAGGGUUGUAAAGUACUUUCAGUCGGGAGGCGUUACCGACAGAAGAAGCACCGGCUAACUCCGUGCCAGCCGCCGCGGUAAUUC